AGAGUUUGAUCCUGGCUCAGGACGAACGCUGGCGGCGUGCUUAACACAUGCAAGUCGAGCGGAAAGGCCCUUUCGGGGGUACUCGAGCGGCGAACGGGUGAGUAACACGUGAGUAACCUGCCCUGGACUUUGGGAUAACCCUCGGAAACGGGGGGCUAAUACCGGAUACGACAACCAUCCGCAUGGUUCGGUUGUGGAAAGUUUUUUCGGUCUGGGAUGGGCUCGCGGCCUAUCAGCUUGUUGGUGGGGUGAUGGCCUACCAAGGCGACGACGGGUAGCCGGCCUGAGAGGGCGACCGGCCACACUGGGACUGAGACACGGCCCAGACUCCUACGGGAGGCAGCAGUGGGGAAUAUUGCACAAUGGGCGGAAGCCUGAUGCAGCGACGCCGCGUGAGGGAUGACGGCCUUCGGGUUGUAAACCUCUUUCAGCAGGGACGAAGCGUAAGUGACGGUACCUGCAGAAGGAGCGCCGGCCAACUACGUGCCAGCAGCCGCGGUAAGACGUAGGGCGCGAGCGUUGUCCGGAUUUAUUGGGCGUAAAGAGCUCGUAGGCGGCUUGUCGCGUCGGCUGUGAAAUCCCGUGGCUCAACUGCGGGCUUGCAGCCGAUACGGGCAGGCUAGAGUUCGGUAGGGGAGACUGGAAUUCCUGGUGUAGCGGUGAAAUGCGCGAUAUCAGGAGGAACACCGGUGGCGAAGGCGGGUCUCUGGGCCGAUACUGACGCUGAGGAGCGAAAGCGUGGGGAGCGAACAGGAUUAGAUACCCUAGUAGUCC
rnacentral:rRNA from 1 species